CACUGCCCACACUCCAGUCCAGUAGGUGGCGGUAAUGCACCUUUAGCUGGUUUGCCAACCGCCAUUAAAACAAAAAGAAGAAGGUAAACGCGAGCACUUGAAUCUCUGGUCUGAAUUAAUUGCUGUAUGUUCUUGUAUUAAGAAGCGGUUUGUUUAAUCUAAGCUUAGUAGAGCUGCUAGUUAGAGUGGUUAGUUUAGCUGGGGAGCGCUGAAGGUUUUGCUCAGAAGGGAAAUGAACGCGUCUGUACAGAGCUGUGUAGUGAAGCUGCUGAGAGGAAACGGCGGCGUGGGAUCACAUUGUGCUCUCAGUACUCUGCUUGUUCCUACUACAGUGAAGCAUGGAGCCUUCCUUGUCACUACAUCCUGAUUUGGAUUGGCCAGCCGUGCAGGCAUGUCUUCCACUUCACCAGCAAACUGUUUUUAAAGGGACUACUUUUACAGGUGCAUCAAUAUUCCUAUAUUAAAUGGCGCAUUUGAAUUAGUAUUGAGUCACGUUAACGCUGCAAUCCGAACAGCUGAUUCAGAUUAAGACCAUAUUCUGAUUCCCAUCCCUUUAAUAUGCCUGUUUUAAUCAGAAAUUUGUUGCAUGCAAAUACAUUAUUCAGAAAAUCCACUGAAAGGAGAUGUAUGUGCAUCCUCGGUCUCUAAUGAAUUGUGGGUUGCAACAGCAUUAUCUUGAAUCUCCCAGAGAAAUGACAGCGGGAAAGCACAUGUGUAGAGCUCGCAUGCUUACGGCAACCAUGUAUACAGGAAUAUUCCAACGCCUGUAAACAUAUAAACAUUAUAUUCAGAAUAUGGCUGAAACCCGAAUAUAGACCUUUAAACGGAAUUUGAUGUGCAUGUAAACGCACCGCUGUUGCCUUCACCUAGCUGACUGCUCAGAUGGAUAAAGAUACUUGUGAUUCUUAGGUUGAUUUGAGAUUUAUGCUGUGUAGCAUGAAGAAAAAGUCUCUCACAUGUUAAUCCUCACCAUGUUGAACUCGACAUCAUCUCUGGAGUCACCAUAACACAAGGAGCAGCUAUUCGCGUGAUCCUGUGCUAAAAUCUCUCAAUUCCCAUCACUUGAUGUAAAAUUAAGUUGGUCAGAAGAAGCAGCCUACAUGGUAAGUUUAGUUUAAACAUAGUGGCAGAAAAAAGGUAAUUUUUUUUUUUUUUUUUUUUUUUUUUUUUUUUUUUUAAAUUUAUAAUAGAAAAUAACGUUUUCCUAUCUGAUUGGUUUGAUGUGAUCUUGCAUUAUUUGUAAUGGAUUACUGCAAUUAUUUGCUGAAUAAAUUUUUUUCAAAAUUCAAAUAACUGGUCCUCAUUUCAAUUUGAAACAGUAGUUUGGAUUAAUGCACUCACUCACUACAAAGUCCAUUUACCAGCAGAUGCUUUUUAACCCUCCUAUUAUGUUGGAGAAAAAGUUACAUCCAUUAUGUUAUGGGUCAAACUUACUUCCACAGUUUAAAUACACACACAAACAGCAAAGGACAGCUUAAAACGGUAAACAUUUAUUAUGGCUCUUCUGAGACAAACCAUAAGAAGAAAUAUUUGCGUACAACUUUGACCUAAAAUGAGGAAAGUUGAAAAAUUUCAAAGAGAAAAAGUGAGAUUAACCAUGAUUCUGACUGACUAAUAAACCAAAUUGGGUUUCCAAAAGCCUCUUUCAACAAUGUUCCGAGCUGAGCCAAGGUAGAUGUAACAUUUGGUAUUCAGAGUAAGAAAUAAUUUUCAUGAGUUUAGACUGCUAUGACUAAUGCACAACAAAUGUCCUGGCUGUGGCUCGUACCUUUUAAAAAAUAAAUAAAAAUGCAACAGGCAGUGUUUGGCAUCAUCACUUUCCCUCAGUUGAAGUUUAUAUUGGCAUUUAUAAAGGAAAUUAUUCAUUAUAGCAUGGCAAAAGCAUUUCUGGUGGUGAAGACUGAAACUGAAUUGCUCACGGUAAUGUGGAUUUGUACGAGUUAGUGUAUACACUCUCUUACCAUCAUGCCAUGUUUAUAUGAUGUACUGAAAAGUUGCAGAUUAAUGUACAUUUUCUAAUAACAUUUUGUUUAUAAUGCAUUCUAAGAGGCUUGGAGUGAAGUAUGUGAAAACACACUGCAUAGAUAACCAUGAUGGAUGAUUACAUGAGAAUCAGUAAAACGAGAGAAGACGACACAAAGGGCACAGUAAAUGUGAUCCAGUUGUGUGUGAUAAUGUGUGAUGUGGAUGUUUGGAGCAGAGGAGUUAAUUAUGAAGAGAGUGGGAUUGUCUGACAGUUAGAGGACAAAGUUUCAGAGAUUAGAUACAAUUCUGGAGAAAGUUUGGUUGCUAAGGCAGUGGAAGUUGGAUAGAGGAAUGGCAAGCAGGAUUUGGGGGGAUUUUGAAGGGAUUUGUAGGAAAGUUGUAGGAUUUUUUUAAACGAGACUCAUGUUCAUCCUAGUGUGAGAUCAGACUCAUCACUGUUGUCCCACAUAGCUCACUGCUGGUCCUUCUCUGUUUUCCUUCUAUAUAUGUAUGUUCUCUCAGUGAGGUAAUACAUGAUUUGUCAUAUUGCUGCUAUACUGAUGACACUUAACUUACUUUCCUCCCUCAGCCACAUGCUUUGGCUUGUAUCAUAACAUGUCUUUUAUGAAGAAUGACAGCUUAUCUCCUGAAUGGAAAUUGCAUCAACAUUGAGAUGCUGUAUUUCCCCGGAGAUGCUCAUCAUCUCCUUAGAAAGCUCUACGAUCAGACCAGUGUUGGGGAAGCUACUUUGAAACUGUAGCUUUUCAAACUACAAGCUACUCAUAGUUGAAGUAGUUAAGCUACAGUCAAGCGACCCUUUUAGAAGAGUAGUUAGCUAAAUUUACAAGUUACUAAAAAAAAAAAGGUAGCUGACUAUACUCAUCAAAAAAAGAAACGUCUUCUCGCAGUCAAUUGCUUUUAUUUCCAGCAAAUUUCUUAACAUGUAAAUAUUUGUAUUAGCAUAAACAUUCAACAACUGAGACAUAAACUGAACAAGUUUCAUAGACAUUUGUUUAACAGAAAUGGAAUAAUGAGUCCCUGAACGAAGGGGUGAAGGUGGGGGGUGGGAUGUUAAUAUACCAGUCGGUAUCUGGUGUGGCCACCAGCUGCUUUAAGUACUACAGUGCAUCUCAUCCUCAUGGAGUGUGCCAGAUUUGUCAGUUCUUGCUGUGAGAAGAGUGGGGUCACUCUUCCACCAAGGCAUUUGCAAAUUCUCGAUCACGUCUGGGGGACACAUGGUUACAUGUCAUUUUCCACUGCAAAGGCGAUCAGCUGACAUUCCUGUCUCCCUGUAGCACUGUCUUAGGCGUCUUACAUCACAGACAUUGCCAUUUAUUGCUCUGGCCACAUCUGCAGUCCUCAUGCCUCCCUGCAGCAGGCCUAUGGCAUGUUCACACAGGUGAGCAGGAACCCUAGACAUCUUUCUUCUGGUGUUUUUCAGAGUCAGUAGAAAGGUCUCUUUAGUGUCCUAAGUUAUUGUAACUGUGACCUUAAUUGCCUACCGCCUGUAAACUAUUCGUGUCUUAAGGACUGUUCCACAGGUGCAUGUGCAUUAAUUGUUUAUGGUUCAUUGAACAAGCAUGAAAGACAUAGUUUAAACCCUUUCCAAUGAAGAUUUGGAUUUUUACAAAAUUAUCUUUAAAAUACAGUCUCCUGAUGUUUAUUUUUUGCGGAGUGUACAUGUUGCUACUUAAAUGGGCAACAUUUUUAGUAUGUCAUGAUUUGAUAUUGGAUUAGAUGAAGUAUUUAAAUUCUUUGGUUUGCAAUGAUUACAUAUAACGGUGUAAGAUUUAUUAUUUGAAUAAUACUUAAGGAACAUGAACUUUGACAAAUAAAGCCACGGGUAAUUGGAUUUUUCAUUGCCGGAAUCAGUCACAUCUCCCGCUCCAUCAUCGAUAAUAAGGAAGAGAGUGUUGAACCUGAAUAACUGAUACUUCCGAUAGGCUAAUACAUGCAUUGAUUAAUAAUAAUUAUUAUUGUUGUUGUUUUACCACUAAUUAAUUAAUUAAUCAUGGAAAUAAUAAUAAACAAUGAAUUUAAGAAAAAAACUUAAGACAGGAACUUUUUUCUCUUGCUGCUUCCUUAAACGAUGUUGAGAAAUACAAUCGGACUGUUGUUUUCAGAACAUCAAAUAAAUCCCUUGGCAUACAGUGAUCAAUGUAUUGAAUUAUUUUAUUUUAUCUGUAAGUAACUGUAAACAUUGUGUUGUGUUGCCUAUUCACAACAAAGCACCAGUAAUAUUCUCUAUAUCAGAGAAUAAACUCCAGUGUUAGUUUAUUAUGUUAUUAUCAUUUACCUGCCCCAUACAUCACGUAACCAUCUGUGGCUGGUCACUUUGUGUCCAUCAGACAGUCUCUUCCUGUUCAUGUGAGCUAGAGUGAGGCUUUUAAUUCAUGUGUAGCAAGCAGGCACCAUAGAUAUGCACUGAAGAGGUCCGUUAUAAUUGGACAAAAUACGUAGCGAUUGCUCACGCUACAUCAUUAUUCAUUUGAAAAAGUCAUUUGUUACUGGAAAAGCUGCACUAAUACUACAGUCGCAGAGGUACUGUCACGCUACUGAAAAAUGUAGUUAAGUUAGUAGCGUCACUAAUUUUAACUAGCUACUCCCCAACACUAGAUCAGACCCUCUGACAACUCACACAACCCAAAUAACAUUCUCUCCUUUUCUCCCAUUGUAAAGGAUUCUCCCUUACAGCAAAAGAAAGGAUCUGGCCAUUUUACCCACUGAGUGUGCUCAAUGCCCUUGUCAUCUUUAGAUUGAACACGUCUUCUCCCAUACACCAUCACACCACUGCAACUGAUACAGAUUGCAGCUGCACAGAUGGUUUUAAUGUCACCAGGUUUUCCCACAUGCUGCUUACCACUGGCUUCCUGUAGCUGCCUGUAAGUUAAAACACCAAUGCCUGCCAACAAAACCAAAAACAUACCAACCCCUCACCUAAUUGAAGGCACUUAUCCAACCCUGCUUUGUGCUACAUUCUCUCUGUGCCACAAUCAAACCAGAGUUAG